rnacentral:rRNA from 1 species
GACGAACGCUGGCGGCGUGCUUAACACAUGCAAGUCGAACGGAAAGGCCCUGCUUUUGUGGGGUGCUCGAGUGGCGAACGGGUGAGUAACACGUGAGUAACCUGCCCUUGACUUUGGGAUAACUUCAGGAAACUGGGGCUAAUACCGGAUAGGAGCUCCUGCUGCAUGGUGGGGGUUGGAAAGUUUCGGCGGUUGGGGAUGGACUCGCGGCUUAUCAGCUUGUUGGUGGGGUAGUGGCUUACCAAGGCUUGGACGGGUAGCCGGCCUGAGAGGGUAACCGGCCAAAUUAGGACGGAGAUGAGGCCCAGACUCGUACGGUAGGCAGCAGUGGGGAAUAUUGCACAAUGGGCUGGAGCCUGAUGCAGCAACGCAGCGUGCGGGAUGACGGCCUUCGGGUUGUAAACCGCUUUCGCCUGUGACGAAGCGUGAGUGACGGUAAUGGGUAAAGAAGCACCGGCUAACUACGUG